rnacentral:rRNA from 1 species
GACAGAGGGUGCAAACGUUGUUCGGAAUUACUGGGCGUAAAGCGCGUGUAGGCGGCCCUGUAAGUCGGGUGUGAAAUCCCACGGCUCAACCGUGGAAGUGCAUUCGAAACUACAGGGCUAGAGUUCUGGAGAGGAAGGUGGAAUGCUUGGUGUAGAGGUGAAAUGCGUAGAUAUCUGGAGGAACACCGGUGGCGAAGGCGGCAUCCUGGACCGGCAUUGACGCUGAGGCGCGAAAGCCAGGGGAGCAAACAGG